UACGUAAGGGGCGAGCGUUGUCCGGAAUUAUUGGGCGUAAAGCGCGCGCAGGCGGUUUCUUAAGUCUGAUGUGAAAGCCCACGGCUUAAGCGUGGAGGGUCAUUUGAAACUGGGGAACUUGAGUAAAGAAGAGGGGAGUGGAAUUCCAGGUGUAGCGGUGAAAUGCGUAGAUAUGUGGAGGAACACCAGUGGCGAAGGCGACUCUCUGGUCUGAAACUGACGCUGAGGCGCGAAAGCGUGGGGAGCGAACAGG
rnacentral:misc_RNA from 1 species